GGUGAGUAAUGAAUCGCUAAUGUGCCCCGGACUCUGGGAUAGCCGGUCGAAAGGCCGGGUAAUACCAGAUGAUAUACCUUUAUCGCAUGAUAGAGGUCUCAAAGGUCCGCCGGUCUGGGAGCAGGCGAUUUCGUAUCAGCUAGUUGGUGAGGUAACGGCUCACCAAGGCGACGACGCGUAGCCGGACUGAGAGGUUGGCCGGCCACAUUGGGACUGAGACACUGCCCAGACUCCUACGGGGGGCUGCAGUAACGAAUCUUCCGCAAUGCACGAAAGUGUGACGGAGCGACGCCGCGUGUGGGACGAAGCCCUUCGGGGUGUAAACCACUGUCAGAGGAAAGAAAGUUCUGAUCUACCUCAGAGGAAGAGGCGGCUAACUCUGUGCCAGCAGCCGCGGUAAUACAGAGGCCUCGAGCGUUAGGCGGAAUCACUGGGCUUAAAGCGUGUGUAGGCGGACUUCUAAGUACCUUGUGAAAUCCCACGGCUUACCCGUGGAACUGCUGGGUAUACUGGUUGUCUUGAGCCAUCUAGGGGCUACCGGAACAAAUGGUGGAGCGGUGAAAUGCGUAGAUAUCAUUUGGAACGCCAAUGGUGAAAACAGGUAGCUGGGGAUGUGCUGACGCUGAGACACGAAAGCCAGGGGAGCGAACGGGAUUAGAUACCCCGGUAGUCCUGGCCGUAAACGAUGUCGACUAGAUCGCGGUACCUCUGACGGUUUCACGGUCGAAGCAAAAGUGCUAAGUCGACCGCCUGGGAAGUACGGUCGCAAGGCUAAAACUCAAAGGAAUUGACGGAAUCGA
rnacentral:rRNA from 1 species